CUAACUUCGGCUACAGGGCUUAGAUCAAGUGUAGUAUCUGUUCUUUUCAGUUUAAUGUAAGUUCCUAUUCCUGAUGGUACUCCACGAAGUCUCUGCUGACAGCUGGUAAAGAUCUGAAAGUCACUCAAACUGGGUGAUUUAUGGUAUAAUUCUAUUUUUGAACUUCGGAGCCAAUCUCUGGGCUUGCCUACGUUGACCCCACUGUGUCUCUGGUAUCGCACCAUCUCCAGUUGAUGCAACUUUGC
rnacentral:snRNA from 1 species